rnacentral:rRNA from 1 species
UACAGAGGUCUCAAGCGUUGUUCGGAUUCAUUGGGCGUAAAGGGUGCGUAGGUGGCGCCGUAAGUCAGGUGUGAAAUUUCGGAGCUUAACUCCGAAACUGCAUUUGAUACUGCGGUGCUUGAGGACUGGAGAGGAGACUGGAAUUUACGGUGUAGCAGUGAAAUGCGUAGAGAUCGUAAGGAAGACCAGUGGCGAAGGCGGGUCUCUGGACAGUUC